GCAGCGGGAGGUGAGGCCAGAGAAGCCUUGGAGGCAGAAGCUGCGGGCCUCAUGGUUAUCAUGAAGCUCCGGGUUUUACUCUGAGUACGCGGGAGCCAUGGAGAGUUCUGAGCAGAGGAAGCACAGGACCUGACCUGGGUUUCACAGGCUUCCUCUGGCUGCUGUGUGGAAAAUAGAUCGUGUGAAAGUUUUUCGUCAUGUCCAGGCACCACCUCUUCCCGGUCAGGCCCACGUUACAUACGAGGACAAUGGAACAAGUCAAAGGCAAAGCAACACGUCCCCCUGUAAAAACUGUCAGUGUAACCGUCCACUUCCGUAUCUGUCCAGUCACUUAACAAACAUUGACGGACCACCUUUAAACACAGGCUGCUGUGCUGGUGUCUGGGACACAGCGCCUGACACUCAGGAGAUGGGGAGAGCCUUCCUCUCACUCCGCCUCAGGAGGAGCUCGAACCUGCUCCCUUAAAUCUCCAUCAGCUCCGCAAGCACUUGGGCUCUGCUGGCUGUAACGCUGCUCCCUGUUUACCAGAGGCUUUUGCUGGCACAUGUAUCACUCAGACUCUGAACUAGAUCAAGCCACAGAAAACUUCGAUUCAUGGAGCUGCUGGUCCCCAUUACCACAAGAUAUGCAUUCUUUCUCUUUGAUAAGGAAUUAAGGUGCCAUAUUCAAACUUUAAUCUGUAAAUACAGGUAAAUAAAACAUGAUUACAGAAAUCAUUUUCAAUAAAAAUCCAUCUUGAGCUUAA
rnacentral:lncRNA from 1 species